AGUUGGCAAUCAUGUGACUUAAGUGCAGUAUUGGCCAAGUCCCGAGUUGGCAGCUUCAAGAGUCUGUUUACCAAAGACAGGGAGCAGAGGCCCAAGUGUGUUUGAUCCUCUUCUUCCUUCUGCUGUGACCUUUGGCGGCCUCUAGGCUACAGGCAGAAACUGGUCUGGUCCAUGGGGCUGCCCAGGGACAGCACUGUUCUUGUAUGUCUCGUGGUUUUGGAAAAAUAAACGUGUACAGCCUGCGCUUGUGGUCUCCGUCCUCUUGUGUGGCCGCCCCGCCGGGCUGGAAAGGAAGGCCAGGAGUGCGAAAGCGGCACCGCAGGAGCGAACGUCGGCUCGCUUCACCUCAGCUCCGGCUCCAGUGCUGAUGUCCUCGGGCUGGAAGCUCUUCUGUGAGGUCAGUGCCGAAGGCCCAGACUCGCCGCUUUUGCUGGGUCUUUAGACUCUGGGCGUGACUGCGUUGACUGGAAGCCAAAAUCGAACGAGAACAGUGAGGGUGCUCAUCCCAGCUGCCCUGCUGAGACACACUCGCCGAAGAGCUUUCUGGUGGCUGGUGGCCUAGGGGGGUGGUGACCAGUUCUGACCUUGAAAGAUCUGUAAACACGAGCGCCUCGCUGCAUAGCGGGCAGCCAGCAGGUGCUAGUGGCGUGGGCCUGAGGGUGACAGGCUGCAGGACGUCCCAGUCCGUCCCCAGACAUACCUGGAGUGCUGACACGCGCGAGUUUGUGCUGCUCAGAAACAACCCUAGUAAAGAAACAAGCCAGAAGUAAAAAGACACACGGCAGAAGUACAGAUUGACUAAAAUGUGUAUCCGUUAGCUCGUUUCCCGUGAGUUGGUCGAGGUCGGCUUUCCGUGUGGUGGAGUACCUCCUGGGGCAGUUCAGUCUGCAGUUCUGUGCUGCUGCUGUCGGUGGAAGGGCAGGUGGAGAAGUGAGGUUGGGUGGCCCUGUAGUGACUGGGUGGCCUCCUAGUGGCGAUGAUGUGUGUGUACUUGCGCUGUCGGGGCACGGCACCCGUUGGCUCGCUUAAAGGCCGCGGGAGCUUAGAAUGCUUUAGAAAGCAGGCCUGGGACCUGACCUUGCGAUCGCGUCUCGAGUGUCGUGAAGGAGGCAGCCGAGGACGGUGGGUUCAGCACGCGAGCCCUGUUCCCCCUACUGGCUGUGCGGUCUCCGCGUCCGUCUCCGCCCGCGCUCCCGCCUCAGAAUGGGGACGGCGAUUCCUUCUUUGUAAAGUCGUUAGUGCCUGGCACGCAGGGAGUACUCCGGACUUUUAGCUUGCACCCGGCAGGACAGUGGCGGCCUGACCUUGGAGUAGAGGUCUGUGUGACGCCUGCCACCUGCCUGAUCCUUGCCCCAGAGGGGGACUGUGGAGAGGCGGGCCUUGGGCGCCGAGGGGUGGGGUGGCGGCCUCUCACCGGACAUGUGGCUUCUGGCCUCACGCUCAGACUGUAGUUGCUGAGUGCACAGCCCUAAGUUCAGAGACUGGGUGUCUGGCAGAGGAGACUGUUUGUACUCAUGAUCUGAAGGACGAGGAAACCUAACGUUUCAGGAUACGGAGAGACGAUUAUUGUACUGGCCUGUUUGAAGGCCUGGACUAACUACUGAAGGUGCAGGCAGCAGCUCUAGAGGGAAAAGAAGAGCGACUAAAAGAGCUGUCUGGGCAGUGGCUUUCAACCUGGCUGGGGACACAGACCCCUCGGAGAGCCCGACGGAGGCUCCAGACACCCUCCCCCAGGAAGGCACAUCCACACCAACUUGUGUGAAGUAUGUCAUAGGGCCCAUCGGCUCCUCAGGCAGCUGGGGACCCCUCAUUGAGGAGCCCCUUGACUGCCGGGAACCCGAAUAAAAUCUGGGUUGAUACAAAAGAUCAGGGAGGGGAGAGAGGACUUUGCAAAGGAUUCUUGGGUUUCUUGUAAACUGGGCUUCCCCAGUGCAUCAUAGUUAGUUUUAAAAUGCACUUCUGUGCCUAUUCUCCCCUUCGCUCCCCUUCCCCGAGUAAAGGGAGGGUGGCCUGUUCUGUCAUGGAGUAAAUUUUAGUUCACUGUUCCAUGGGGGCAUUUCCUAUUUGACGUUGUCCUGUACGCUGUUAACAACAGUGGUCCUGGGGCCCCAAUUAAAGAAGCCAGGCUGGGAUCAAGCAACGCUUCUCCGUCCUUGAGUGACGAUGUCUCCUCGAUCUCCGUGCCGCCGUCCUGUGGAGCUGUGUGGCACUUCAUCCGGAGCUCCGUCUGGGUCCCAGGACGGCCUUUCCCUCUCUCCCUGUCCCCAGCUGUCUCCAGCAUGACUGACGGUCACCCUCUCACCCCUGCCACACCAGGAACAACGCCCGGGCAGCUGUGGGUAAGCAGGUACCUGGG